rnacentral:misc_RNA from 1 species
AAAGAUCGCAGCCUGCGGCAGCGCCUACAGGGUCAUGUGAACACCUGAGUAGGAGCUGCCGCAGGCUGCGAUCUUU